rnacentral:rRNA from 1 species
AUUGAACGCUGGCGGCAUGCUUUACACAUGCAAGUCGAACGGUAACAGGGUGCUUGCACCGCUGACGAGUGGCGAACGGGUGAGUAAUGCGUCGGAACGUGCCGAGUAGUGGGGGAUAACGCAGCGAAAGUUGUGCUAAUACCGCAUACGUACUGAGGUAGAAAGUGGGGGACCUUCGGGCCUCACGCUAUUCGAGCGGCCGACGUCUGAUUAGCUAGUAGGUGAGGUAAAGGCUCACCUAGGCGACGAUCAGUAGCGGGUCUGAGAGGAUGAUCGGCCACACUGGGACUGAGACACGGCCCAGACUCCGACGGGAGGCAGCAGUUGGGAAUUUUGGACAAGGGGCGAAAGCCUGAUCCAGCCAUGCCGCGUGUCUGAAGAAGGCCUUCGGGUUGUAAAGGACUUUUGUCGGGGAGGAAAUCCCCAGCGUUAUUACCGCUGGGGGAUGACAGUACCUGAAGAAUAAGCACCGGCUAACUACGUGCCAGCCGCCGCCGUAAUAC